rnacentral:tRNA from 1 species
GCGCCCGUAGCGCAACUGGAUAGAGCAUCAGUCUUCGGAACUGAGGGUUGGGGGUUCAAAUCCCUCCGGGCGCA